UGAUCAUCCACGAGAGCGGUGCAGGGUCGCUGAGAUAAUAGGAACUGUAGAUGCUGGAGAAUUCGCGAUAACAAGGUGUAGAGCUGGAUAAAUGCAGCAGGUCAAGCAGUAUCAGAGGAGCAGGAAAGCCGAACUUUCGGGCCUAGGUCCUUCGCUGAGACCAAGAUUUUUGCAAUUCAGAUACCAGCGAUCGUUGCCAAAGCCCUGUUGCCUGUGGAGAACGUGAUGUUUAAUUUUCAUGUCCUGCUGCAGUUCGUACAAUGAAGGUGCUCCCACAAUGUGGUCAUUUGAGAAGUUACAGAUCAUUCACCUAGUGAUACUGAAGAGCUGAUGGUGAUAUUACAAGUGGACUUUCAGGUGGGGAACUCGAGUAUUGUAACACCAAACUCUGACAGAAUUACUCAAUUCAUCAGCACCUGGAUAUUCGUAUUGUGUUCCUGCUCAUUUCCCACUUGCCGUGUAAAAUUCGUCUCUUAAAUCACCCCAUUUUCUCAAUAGA